ensembl:lncRNA
GUCUUAAUUUAUGGGUUCUGUUUCUUAUCGUCAGUUUCUAGGAAGUCCAACGUUCACAAAGAAGCUCAAUGACACUGUUAAAGGAGUCAGCAAUUCAAGUGUGAUCAGUAAGUCAAGUGUGUCUGUCACAGUGUUGAAGAAGAGAGCUGGGCGAGUGUCAGAAUAAACAACAUCUGCUUCCUCUUUCUCAUCAAUCCUGCUUCGUUACAGACUCACACAGCAUCUCUGAACUGUUGGAUCUUGAGCAACAGAUAAAAUGGUUUUCGCUGUACCUCAGAGAAUCCUCCUGAUCUGCCUGCUUCAGUUUUGCACUUGUGCAGUCGGUCAGAAUGUGGACCCCAAAACUCUCAUGAAUAUUGUAAAGAACUUUGAGAAUCAGUUGGGUAACAUGGGACAAUACGCUGUCGCCUUCAGUACUGAGAAGGACAACUGUCUUAAAGGUUCUGGCUAUCCAAGCAAGGACUUACUAACUAAAGUGAAAGAAAAACUUCAGCUGAAAGAGGUUUACGUGAGCGAUGACCUCAUUGCUGCAAAUCCGAAUGGAAAAGAUCAUUCAGAGUAUCGUCUGAAAAAUUAUCUGAAGAAUAUCUUGAAGGAUGAAAAUGAGUGUGUGGGUUUUUUCACCGUAAAUUCACCCUGUUUGAAAACAUGCCUAGCAGAAUCUGGGCCAUACAGCGUUAAAGACAGUCUUGUACUGUUACAAAAAUAUGUGGGUAUUAAAGCCUUUGCAUUCAAAAAAAUUUGGACACAUGAUAAAAAGGAGGAUGUGAUAAAGAGACUGAAUGAAAUUGCACCUAAUUUGCCAUAUUAUCAGUGUGAGAAAAACAAAGCUAGAUGUGACAGACUGUAAGAAGAGUAAUGCUUGACAGUUGCUUUCCUCACAUAUAGAAAGUUUUAUUAAGCUGAGGAUUUUUUUUUUCUGUUUUGAAUGCAGUAAACAUUAAAAUUGGUAGAUAAAAUCAAUCAUAUGUAAAAAAAAAAAAUCAUAAAUUUUGAAAGAUGACAAGUACUGUUAAAGUAAAUUAAUGUUAGCAUGUCUGCUUACUGCUGGAGUGAAUAAAAAUACAUUUUAUUGAGCA